GGCGGAAGAGAAGGCUGCCAGCUGCCAAUGACUGCACCAGUAGAUCUUUUGGAACCUGUUGCGGCAGGUUUUUUGUGUCUGUAUAUCUUAUUCCUGGGCUGGCCUAGGCAAGAGCCAGAGACACACACAUACAGGCGCACGCACGCAAGCACACGCACGCAUGCACGCACGCACGCACGCACGCACGCACGCACACAAACAGAGACUGAGGAUGAUAUUCAGAGCUGCCAAAAUCUAAAACCAGCCCAUCAACCAUUUCCAUACAACAUAUUUAGAGAGCCAAUCUAAUAGAAGUGGCUCAGUGUCAGAGUGUAUGGGCCACGAGGAGUGCAGAUUCACAAGGGACGUGAGCUCAGAUGCUUCAGGUCCGAGGUCUGAGAAAAUCCAGGCUACAAAUCCACAAAGAAGAGAGGGGGCAGCAAUUGAUUGGAGCAGAUUUUGGUGCAGAAUGUCAGACUCCCAGCAAUUUUACCCAGGCAGCAGCAGCAGCAGCAGCAGCAGGUCUCAAACAUCAAUCCCUCAGGCCGGUCUACACACCUGCGAACCCUGUGGGACCUCCUGCCAGCAGAUGGCAGAAUCACAGGCAGAUGAAGGCAGGGAUGUCUGCUUCACCCAGCAUGAGAGCAACACGUUCAGCAUGAGGACCGCAGCUGUGAUCAAGAGGUACAGUGAUGAUGAGAACCUUUGUUCAGGGUCAGAAACAGCACCAGGACGAGGCCCCAGUGACUCUGACCCUUUCCAUUCGUACCAGCGACAGUUCAGUGAUGGGGCAGUGGCGGCUGCAGGUCAUCUCCAACAGUGCUCGUCGUCCCUCAGCUGUCUGCAGGAGACACACAGCCCUGACAAUGGUUCACACAGCUUCACUGGCGGAGCAACGACAUCCUGGGACCAGUACAACUGCAGCUUUCAGGUUGCUAUACUCAUGGUACACCGAUUUAAUCCCCAUCAAACAGUUCAGUAAUGCUUUGGGCAUGUAGGUGCUGAGGUGCACGACAAAACAUUUGGGUCAAUGAGAACAUAUGAAAAAUCUCUCUAAUUUAAGUUCAAUUGAAUAUUACUUGCAAAAAUAAACGUUUGAGGUAGUGUAUUAUAUUUUAUUUACAGUUGGCUUGCAACUGAGACUAGCCGCUGAACGCAGUAAAGCAUUCAGCUACUAAUUCUGUAGUGCUGUAGGCUAUAGUAUUGUAGGCUACUGUACAUGUUUCACUUUUCUUGCAGGCAUUUCACCUCUCAACCGUGAGGCUUUGCCAGUUCUAACUAACUGGAGGGGAGUCGCAGGCUUUUAAACUGUGUGUGGGAGUGUCCUCACAGAUUUGUUAAGUUCAACAAUUUGAUCAUCUUGGCUAGAGAAGACUGAUGGUUUGAAGGGAGUAAAAUCAUCCAUCUUUGUCAAAUUGGAAUGACCAUCUUUGAACAGAGGCAGUGGCCUACGAUACACACCUACCUACAGUGCAGUACUGAGUUGUCACCCCAGACUGCUUAACAGCCAUUCACACCUUGGCUCACCUAGCCCUAGCAACCCAACAUGAAGGCCGGUUGGGUCAACGACCAGUGACCCUAACCUCUCUGAAAGUCAGAACUCACACGUGUCCUUAACGACUCUGUAAGGACACUCCCACACAGAGUUUAAAGUCCUGCAACUCCCCUCCAGUUAGUUAGAACUGAAGAAGCCUCUUGGAUGAGAGGUGUAACAAACGUCUUCUAUAAACUGAAACAAGUCCAGUCACCUACGAUAGAGCACUUAGAAAUACCAUGACCCGGAUGACUGAGAACUUUCAUUUACAUUCAGCAGCUAAAAGAUUUAGCCUGAAUCAUCAAGUGGACAGACAGACGACUCCAAAUUAAUGAUUAUGUUGCUCUGAAACUGCAAAUUUUUAGAUGUAUAAAUAGACAACUGCUGGCUAAAUGAUAUGCCCAAUGAACUGUGUGAAAUUAUGCCAAGGAGUCAAGAUUAGGCCCAAAUUUGAUUAAUCACAUAAAAACAUUGUAGUCUAAAUUGUUUCUUUUGAACGAUUUCUUUUUGCCUCCUCAUAUUUAGAGUUCGAACACAGAACCACCGACUGUGCCAGCAGAGCCCUCCUGCUUUCUGUCUCAAAGCUACCAAUCCUACGGCUCAUCGCGCCCUCUACAGCAGGUUAGUGUGUUUGUGUGGCUAAACCGAAGGAUAUGAUGUUUGUGUUACACAAUAUUUAUGAGCAACAGGUACUGAGCUGCU
ensembl:lncRNA